rfam:Canis lupus familiaris chromosome 22, whole genome shotgun sequence.
AGGAGGAACAGCCCCAGUGGCGGGGCAGCUCUGGAAACCUGGAUUCAGCUCCGGAAACCUGGAUUCAGCUCCGGCAGGAACUCCGUCUGCAGGGCCUGGAGGCUCCGGGGCGGG